UACAGGAGACUGCAAGCGUUUAUUCGGAUUCACUGGGCGUAAAGGGUGCGCAGGCGGCCGAGUGUGUGAGGCGUGAAAGCCCGGGGCUUAACCCCCGGAAUUGCACCUCAAACUACACGGCUAGAGCAUUGGAGAGGGUAGGCAGAAUUCAUGGUGUAGCAGUGAAAUGUGUAGAUAUCAUGAGGAAUACCAGAGGCGAAGGCGGCUACCUGGGACAAUUGCUGACGCUCAGGCACGAAAGCGUGGGGAGCAAAAGGG
rnacentral:rRNA from 1 species